rnacentral:rRNA from 1 species
UGGGGAAUAUUGCACAAUGGGCGGAAGCCUGAUGCAGCGACCCGCGUGGGGGAUGAAGGCCUUCGGGUUGUAAACUCCUUUCGACAGGGACGAAGCUUUUGUGACGGUACCUGUAUAAGAAGCACCGGCUAACUACGUGCCAGCAGCCGCGGUAAUACGUAGGGUGCGAGCGUUGUCCGGAAUUACUGGCCGUAAAGAGCAAGUAGGUGGUUUGUCGCGUCGUCUGUGAAAUUCCGGGGCUUAACUCCGGGCGUGCAGGCGAUACGGGCUGACUUGAGUGCUGUAGGGGAGACUGGAAUUCCUGGUGUAGCGGUGAAAUGCGCAGAUAUCAGGAGGAACACCGAUGGCGAAGGCGGGUCUCUGGGCAGUAACUGACGCUGAGGAGCGAAAGCUUGGGUAGCGAACAGGAUUAGAUACCCUGGUAGUCCAUGCCGUAAACGGUGGGCGCUAGGUGUAGGGGGCUUCCACGUCUUCUGUGCCGUAGCUAACGCAUUAAGCGCCCCGCCUGGGAGUACGGCCGC